AUCACGCCAACUGGAGAGAGGUUGCUGCGGGCAACCCACCGAAGGGGCAAAGCGGCCGAACGGCCGCGAAAACUCUCAGGUACAGAGGACAGAGGGAGAGGC
rnacentral:ncRNA from 1 species